rnacentral:rRNA from 1 species
AACGAACGCUGGUGGCAUGCCUAAUACAUGCAAGUCGAACGAGAAAGCACUUCGGUGUGAGUACAGUGGCGCACGGGUGAGUAACGCGUAGGUGAUAUGCCUGUUAGUGGGGGACAACAUCGUGAAAAUGGUGCUAAUACCGCAUAAGUUUGGUGAAAUUGAAAAAACCAAAGAAAGGGGCUUCGGUCUCGCUGACAGAUUGGCCUGCGUAUCAUUAGCUUGAUGGUGGGGUAAUGGCCUACCAUGGCGACGAUGAUUAACUGGUCUGAGAGGAUGAUCAGUCACACUGGAACUGAGACACGGUCCAGACUCCUACGGGAGGCAGCAGUAGGGAAUAUUGCGCAAUGGAGGCAACUCUGACGCAGCAAUGCCACGUGAGUGAGGAAGGUCUUAGGAUUGUAAAGCUCUGUCCUAUAGGAAGAACCGGCCAUAGUAAUGUAUGGUCCUGACGGUACUAUAGAAGAAAGCACCGGCUAACUCCG